rnacentral:rRNA from 1 species
CCUACGGGAGGCAGCAGUGGGGAAUUUUGGACAAUGGGCGCAAGCCUGAUCCAGCCAUGCCGCGUGUGGGAAGAAGGCCUUCGGGUUGUAAACCACUUUUGUCAGGGAAGAAACGGUCUGAACUAAUACUUUGGACUAAUGACGGUACCUGAAGAAUAAGCACCGGCUAACUACGUGCCAGCAGCCGCGGUAAUACGUAGGGUGCAAGCGUUAAUCGGAAUUACUGGGCGUAAAGCGUGCGCAGGCGGCUUUGCAAGACAGAUGUGAAAUCCCCGGGCUCAACCUGGGAACUGCAUUUGUGACUGCAUGGCUAGAGUACGGUAGAGGGGGAUGGAAUUCCGCGUGUAGCAGUGAAAUGCGUAGAUAUGCGGAGGAACACCGAUGGCGAAGGCAAUCCCCUGGACCUGUACUGACGCUCAUGCACGAAGGCGUGGGGAGCAAACAGGAUUAGAUACCCUGGUAGUCCACGCCCUAAACGAUGUCAACUGGUUGUUGGGAGGGUUUCUUCUCAGUAACGAAGCUAACGCGUGAAGUUGACCGCCUGGGGAGGUACGGCCGCGAGUAGAACGUACGAAAGAAGUAGACGGCGUGAGACGUAGACCGACGGACGACGACGAGGGAGGAGG